rnacentral:lncRNA from 1 species
CCAUUGUGGAAGAUGGAAAGUUGAAGGAAGAAUGUUAUGCACAACUUUAUAGUGCAGCAGCCAACCCUUGCCCUACUCAUGAUGACCUUCAAUCCUCUAAGAUUGUUUUACUAUCCAAAUCAGAUGAGAAACACACUUUUGGGUUACCUGGUAAAAUCAAGAUUUCACCAGGAACUUGUACAUCAGCUUUCCUUUGGCCAUUUUUCAAGUACCCUCCUCUUACCAAGUUCCCUCAAUUUCCUUUGCCACUCCCUCUUAUACCUGACUUUCAUCAUCCACAUUUGAAGCAUUUUGUUCCCCCAUUCUCCUUCCCUCCAUUGCCACCUAAAGUCUUCUCUCCAUUUCCACCUAAAGAGUUCCCACCAACGCCGGUGUAUGAAAAGCCACUUCCACCACCUGUUCCAGUUUAUGAAAAACCUGUUCCACCACCUACACCGGUAUAUGAAAAGCCACUUCCACCACCUGUUCCUGUUUAUGAAAAACCUCUUCCCCCACCUACACCGGUCUAUGAAAAACCACUUCCACCGCCUACUCCAGUUUAUGAAAAACCUCAUCCUCCGCCUACACCUGUCUAUGAAAAGCCACUUCCACCGCCUGUUCCUGUUUAUGAAAAACCUCUUCCCCCACCUACACCGGUCUAUGAAAAACCACUUCCACCGCCUACUCCAGUUUAUGAAAAACCUCAUCCUCCGCCUACACCUGUCUAUGAAAAGCCACUUCCACCGCCUGUUCCUGUGUAUGUAAAGCCUAUUCCUCCACCUACUCCGAUCUAUGAAAAGCCACUUCCACCUCCUGUUCCGGUUUAUAAAAAACCUGUUCCUCCACCUACACCAGUCUAUGAAAAGCCACAUCCACCGCCUGUUUAUGAAAAGCCACUUCCACCUCCUGUGUAUGUAAAACCUAAGCCUCCACCAGUGCCAAUCUACAAAAAGCCACUUCCACCACCGGUUCCUGUUUACAAAAAACCUUGUCCUCCCCCUGUUCCUAUUUACAAGAAACCUAAUCCUCCACCAGUAUAUGAGAAGCCACUUCCACCACCAGUUCCUGUUUAUAAGAAACCUAAUCCUCCACCAGUGCCAGUCUACAAGAAGCCUCUUCCACCUCCUGUUCCCAUAUAUAAGAAACCCCUCCCUCCACCUGUUCCCAUUUACAAGCAUCCAUUUUUCAAGCACAAACACCCAUUCUUCAAGCAUAAACACCCAUUCUUCAAGCAUUUGCCUCACAUUCCAAAAAUUCCCCAUCAUCCAUUUUUUAAGAAGCCAUGGCCACCUAUCCCUCAAUUCCCUCCUGUUCCCAAGUCCCCACCAAAGUACUUCUCCCACCACAUGUUUGGAGGGUUCCCUAAACAUCCACCGGUUGUUUCUCAUCCUUAGAAUGUCAUUGUCUUGCAGCAUUGUUGCUUUUUUCUUAAUAAGCA